CGGAGGGUGCAAGCGUUAUCCGGAUUCACUGGGUUUAAAGGGUGCGUAGGUGGUUUUGUAAGUCAGUGGUGAAAGCCCGGUGCUCAACUCCGGAACUGCCAUUGAUACUGCUUAACUUGAAUCAAGUAGAGGUGGAUGGAAUAUUACAUGUAGCGGUGAAAUGCUUAGAUAUGUAAUAGAACACCGAUUGCGAAGGCAGUUCACUAUGCUUGUAUUGACACUGAGGCACGAAAGCGUGGGGAUCAAACAGGAUUAGAUACCCUGGUAGUCCACGCCCUAAACGAUGUAUACUCGACAUCAGCGAUAUACUGUUGGUGUCUAAGUAAAAGCGUUAAGUAUACCACCUGGGAAGUACGACCGCAAGGUUG
rnacentral:rRNA from 1 species